GGGCGUUAAGUUGCAGGGUAUAGACCCGAAACCCGGUGAUCUAGCCAUGGGCAGGUUGAAGGUUGGGUAACACUAACUGGAGGACCGAACCGACUAAUGUUGAAAAAUUAGCGGAUGACCUGUGGCUGGGGGUGAAAGGCCAAUCAAACCGGGAGAUAGCUGGUUCUCCCCGAAAGCUAUUUAGGUAGCGCCUCGUGAAUUCAUCUCCGGGGGUAGAGCACUGUUUCGGCUAGGGGGCCAUCCCGGCUUACCAACCCGAUGCAAACUGCGAAUACCGGAGAAUGUUAUCACGGGAGACACACGGCGGGUGCUAACGUCCGUCGUGAAGAGGGAAACAACCCAGACCGCCAGCUAAGGUCCCAAAGUCAUGGUUAAGUGGGAAACGAUGUGGGAAGGCCCAGACAGCCAGGAUGUUGGCUUAGAAGCAGCCAUCAUUUAAAGAAAGCGUAAUAGCUCACUGGUCGAGUCGGCCUGCGCGGAAGAUGUAACGGGGCUAAACCAUGCACCGAAGCUGCGGCAGCGACACUCAGGUGUUGUUGGGUAGGGGAGCGUUCUGUAAGCCUGCGAAGGUGGCCUGUGAGGGUUGCUGGAGGUAUCAGAAGUGCGAAUGCUGACAUAAGUAACGAUAAAGCGGGUGAAAAGCCCGCUCGCCGGAAGACCAAGGGUUCCUGUCCAACGUUAAUCGGGGCAGGGUGAGUCGACCCCUAAGGCGAGGCCGAAAGGCGUAGUCGAUGGGAAACGGGUUAAUAUUCCCGUACUUGGUGUUACUGCGAAGGGGGGACGGAGAAGGCUAUGUUGGCCGGGCGACGGUUGUCCCGGUUUAAGCGUGUAGGUGUGUGUUCCAGGUAAAUCCGGUUCACUUUAACACUGAGGCGUGACGACGAGGCACUACGGUGCUGAAGCAACAAAUGCCCUGCUUCCAGGAAAAGCCUCUAAGCAUCAGGUAACAUCAAAUCGUACCCCAAACCGACACAGGUGGUCAGGUAGAGAAUACCAAGGCGCUUGAGAGAACUCGGGUGAAGGAACUAGGCAAAAUGGUGCCGUAACUUCGGGAGAAGGCACGCUGACAUGUAGGUGAAGUGAUUUACUCAUGGAGCUGAAGUCAGUCGAAGAUACCAGCUGGCUGCAACUGUUUAUUAAAAACACAGCACUGUGCAAACACGAAAGUGGACGUAUACGGUGUGACGCCUGCCCGGUGCCGGAAGGUUAAUUGAUGGGGUCAGCGCAAGCGAAGCUCCUGAUCGAAGCCCCGGUAAACGGCGGCCGUAACUAUAACGGUCCUAAGGUAGCGAAAUUCCUUGUCGGGUAAGUUCCGACCUGCACGAAUGGCGUAAUGAUGGCCAGGCUGUCUCCACCCGAGACUCAGUGAAAUUGAACUCGCUGUGAAGAUGCAGUGUACCCGCGGCAAGACGGAAAGACCCCGUGAACCUUUACUAUAGCUUGACACUGAACAUUGAGCCUUGAUGUGUAGGAUAGGUGGGAGGCUUUGAAGUGUGGACGCCAGUCUGCAUGGAGCCGACCUUGAAAUACCACCCUUUAAUGUUUGAUGUUCUAACGUGGACCCGUGAUCCGGGUUGCGGACAGUGUCUGGUGGGUAGUUUGACUGGGGCGG
rnacentral:rRNA from 1 species